rnacentral:rRNA from 1 species
AUUGAACGCUGGCGGCAGGCCUAACACAUGCAAGUCGAACGGUAACAGGAAACAGCUUGCUGUUUCGCUGACGAGUGGCGGACGGGUGAGUAAUGUCUGGGAAACUGCCUGAUGGAGGGGGAUAACUACUGGAAACGGUAGCUAAUACCGCAUAACGUCGCAAGACCAAAGAGGGGGACCUUCGGGCCUCUUGCCAUCGGCUGUGCCCAGAUGGGAUUAGCUAGUAGGUGGGGUAACGGCUCACCUAGGCGACGAUCCCUAGCUGGUCUGAGAGGAUGACCAGCCACACUGGAACUGAGACACGGUCCAGACUCCUACGGGAGGCAGCAGUGGGGAAUAUUGCACAAUGGGCGCAAGCCUGAUGCAGCCAUGCCGCGUGUAUGAAGAAGGCCUUCGGGUUGUAAAGUACUUUCAGCGGGGAGGAAGGGAGUAAAGUUAAUACCUUUACUCAUUGACGUUACCCGCAGAAGAAGCACCGGCUAACUCCGUG